GUUUCUUUCUCCACCACCCCAUCUGAUUUGUAAUCGGCCAUUAGAACUUUCUCGCUGCCCUUUUCUUUAGUUGUCUCUCAAUUUCUUCUCUGACGUCCAAAACCAUCAAAGCCAGAAUUUGUUGUUUCUUUUCUCUCCAAAACCUUCCUCUCCCAAAUCGUUGCUGCAUCCGUCUCCAAAAGCUUCAUCUCCGACACCGACGUGGCUUUGCCGCCGUUCAAUCAGUCUCCUCCCCUCUACAAAACCCACAAAUUGCAUGUGGGAUUUAAAGAAUUCUUCGUCGGAUCGGUAAACUUCUUUGAUUAUUACGGGCAGAAACUGACCACUUCAGAUGUUGGCGUGUCUUGCCAAGGGACAUGCACUUUUUUCUCAUAGAAUAGCCAAGGUUCACAAAUAGAGGACAACUAUGUCUUAUCGCCAUAGGUCUGUUGCAAAUUUGGAUUCUUAUAUGGUGAUCAUAGGGGAUUAUUAGGAUGUGGCAUUUUAGAGUUUCUGCUAGAUUGCUAUUUUGAUUUGUUUGAUAUGCUUAGCUUAGCUCAUACUUGCAAUAUUGCUAAUUUGACAUCCUUACCAAAACAUCCCUGCCCUUACAAAACUAUCAGUACAUAUAUGAGAAACAAAAUACCAAUAUUAGAAUUGAUUUCAUUAAGCACCUCAAAAUGAAGAGGAAUACAAACUGACCACUGAAUGAGUCAUCAUGAAUAUGUUUUCCUUUACCGCAGUAAGGGAGGAAUGAGUUGCAGGGAAUGAAGUUGCGGGUUUUUUUAUCAUGUUCUUAAAUUCUGUAGUUUUUCCUGCUUUCUGCUUGGGGAGAGGACUCACUUUUUGAAUGUGUAUAUACGGUGUUGCUGAAAGAUAUCAAUUUAAAUGUGUUUCUUUGUUGGCAGCUUGGGCUGCAACAGUUUUUACCGAAGAUGAAGGUUGUGGUGGUUGAACAACCGCUGGGUCGUGCUGAUUUGAUUAGUUCCCGCUAUAUAUAAAGCGGGAAUCAUAAUUGCCCUAAAGUCCAUGACUCUUCCUCUUCUGCUUAGAUAUGCUCUGUAAGUCAAACACAUUCAUUUUCUGAUUCCAAGCUUCAUAUUUAGGUUGCCAUCUUAUUUGGAUUUGAUAGUGUUGGUCUAUGUUUUGAUUCACUGGGUCCAUUGUAGGAGCUAUGAUGUUGUUUUUCCCUGCAGUUUAUAUUUGCUUCAGGCUCAUGUUUUUGCUUUUUUUGGUGCCCCUGAAAUUUGAUAUGGGGUGUUUAUUUUUCUUGAUUUUUGUUUAUUUAAGGGCACUGGAUAAUGAAUAUGAACUAAAUAUUCAUAGGUAAUGGUAGUUGCAGAUUCAGUUCCUUGAAAAGAGCUUAGUGUUUGAUGGUAAAUUGAUUUGCGAAUAUAGAAUGGUUGGGUUGAAUUAUGUUGUAUUCCCUAUAAGAAAGUUGAUACACAGAAUAAUCGGCCAUGUUGGGGUUGUAUUUUGGAUGUGCUAGGGAUACUUAGAGGUGGCAAAGCUUCUACAUUUAUUUACUUAGCAUUGAGAUUGAAGCUUUGAACUUGAAGUAAAUGAAAAGGCAUAAUCUUGAAUUUAGCCUAAAGUUUAAAUGAUCCAUGUAGUUUCUUGCAUUGAAGGUGAUUCUGAAUUAUGCGUUUUAGUGUUUCUUUCAGUAUGUUCAUUUGUUCUUAUCAAUUGAAAAUUAACUAAAUCCCUUGCAUUUCCUAGGCGUAUGCAUGUAGCUACUUUAAGCAGUAUCUGCUAGCAGAGCGGCCAGAGCCAUAUAUAAGCCAUUGAUCAAUAUAUUAAUCCAACCGCUUCAGCUCCAGGGAAGACAUAAUAACAACGAAUCUAUCUUUGCAGGACAAGGAGGGGAAUUCUGUCUGAAAGUGAAACUAGAACGGUUUUCAACUUAUGGUGCUUAGUGGUAUAACAAAUGUCCAGUGACUGAUUGUGAUCUAGGAUUAAAAAAAGAUGAAGAUGGAGAUAGUUUCAUCUAUGUUAUACACCGAACUCAGACUCCUCAGCAGCGUUAUCGAACUUCUAUGGUGCUUAAUGAUGGGAGAGAUCGGAUACCUGUCAUGCUGUUGGACUUGGAAGCAGAAAAAUUGAUUAGAUAUAGUGCUAAGCAGCUAAUUGAUUCAAGAUUUUACAGAGGGCAGCAAGUGAAUCCAGAAGAAAUGCAACGAGUGGAAGGUGGAGAAUAUAUUUGUUUUAGUAUUGAUGCCUGAAGGAAAAAUGGUUGUGAAGAAAAUAAUGUCUAUUCAGGACGAGUCAGAAUAACAAGUGGAGACUCAUCUAUCUAUUAUAUAGAUAGCAUAUGAUGAACAAGUAUUAGUACUGGUUUGACUACAGACCUGUAUUAAUGUUCUUUCUUCCAUCUUUCCAAUAAAAUAUUUUGUAAGGUUUGUAAACAAUAAGCAGAUUAUGAAGUUAUCAGUGGACUA